UACGGAAGGCAGCAGUGGGGAAUAUUGCACAAUGGGCGCAAGCCUGAUGCAGCCAUGCCGCGUGUAUGAAAAAGGCCUUCGGGUUGUAAAGUACUUUCAGUCGUGAGGAAGGUGUUAAGGUUAAUAACCUUAGCAAUUGACGUUAGCGACAGAAGAAGCACCGGCUAACUCCGUGCCAGCAGCCGCGGUAAUACGGAGGGUGCGAGCGUUAAUCGGAAUUACUGGGCGUAAAGGGCACGCAGGCGGUUAAUUAAGUUGGAUGUGAAAUCCCCGGGCUUAACCUGGGAAUGGCAUUCAAGACUGGUUAGCUAGAGUCUUGUAGAGGGGGUAGAAUUCCAUGUGUAGCGGUGAAAUGCGUAGAGAUGUGGAGGAAUACCGGUGGCGAAGGCGGCCCCUGGGACAAAGGACUGACGCUCAUGUGCGAAAGCGUGGGGAGCGAAACAGGGAUUAGAUACC
rnacentral:rRNA from 1 species